CUAGCAACGCUAACAACAUGGAUAAGCAAGCGGUAACAUAGCCAAUCAGUGGUUUGCUAGGUCGAACUGGUUGAAGGCUAUCAUGACAUUGUUGAGAGGCUGGUAUUUAACAUGUGGUAGGCAACGAGACAUAAGCGAUAGCAACGGUAAAACUAGCAUGGCAAUGAUAGUAAUGGUAUCUGGGGAAAUGAUCAUCUUGCCUGAGAUCCCGCUUGGAAGAAGAAUGCCU
rnacentral:lncRNA from 1 species